rnacentral:sRNA from 1 species
AUAAAAAAAGACCGAAUACGAUUCCUAUAUUCGGUCUAGGGAAAUGGCUCUUGGGAGAGAGCCGUGCGCUAAAAGUUGGCAUUAAUGCAGGCUGUUAUGCCUUGCCCUUUAAAGCGUAGACGACGCAGGUGAUUUUUCCAG